UACGUAGGGUGCAAGCGUUAAUCGGAAUUACUGGGCGUAAAGCGUGCGCAGGCGGUUAUGUAAGACAGUUGUGAAAUCCCCGGGCUCAACCUGGGAAUUGCAUCUGUGACUGCAUAGCUAGAGUACGGUAGAGGGGGAUGGAAUUCCGCGUGUAGGCAGUGAAAUGCGUAGAUAUGCGGAGGAACACCGAUGGCGAAGGCAAUCCCCUGGACCUGUACUGACGCUCAUGCACGAAAGCGUGGGGAGCAAACAGG
rnacentral:rRNA from 1 species